UACGUAGGGGGCAAGCGUUGUCCGGAAUCAUUGGGCGUAAAGAGCGUGUAGGCGGUUUGUUAAGUCAUGUGUGAAAUCCCUCGGCUCAACCGGGGAACGACGCAUGAAACUGGCAAGCUAGAGUACCAAAGAGGGGGGUGGAAUUCCCGGUGUAGCGGUGAAAUGCGUAGAGAUCGGGAGGAAUACCGGUGGCGAAAGCGACUCUCUGGACGGCAACUGACGCUGAGGCACGAAAGCGUGGGGAGCAAACAGG
rnacentral:rRNA from 1 species